CCAAUAGCGUAUAUUAAAGUUGUUGCAGUUAAAAAGCUCGUAGUUGAAUUUCGGGAUCAAUUUGUCGGUCGUGCUUCGGUACGUACUGGUAUUAUUGGUUUCUACCUUCUGAAGAACCUUGAUGUCAUUAAUUUGGUGUCUUGGGAAAUCAGGACUGUUACUUUGAAAAAAUUAGAGUGUUUAAAGCAGGCAUACGCUUGAAUACAUUAGCAUGGAAUAA
rnacentral:rRNA from 1 species